UUAACAAAACAAACAAAAUAUUUUUAAAAAAAUGCAAAACAACAUCGGUUUUGGAAGAAUCUAUGUUGUAAGGUGCAUUACAACAUCGAUUUUGGUCAAAAACGAUGUUGUAAGUUGCGACCAAAACUGAUAUUGUUAUGCACCUUACAACAUCGAUUUUUGUUAAAAUCGAUGUUGUGAGGUGCAUAACAACAUCGGUUUUUGUCAAUUUUUUUUUUUGCAAUUUUUUUGUAUAUUUCUUAUUAUACAACAUCGGUUUUCAUAAAAAUUAAUGUUUUAUUGUGUAUUUUAAAAUCGGUUUUGAACCAAUGUUGAAUGUCCAAAAUAACCAAUGUUAAAAGUGUUUUUUCUAGUAGUGCUAAAUUGAAUGGAAUCUAAGGCAACCACCUAAUUUACCUUAUGGUUGCCACAAUGGGAUCAUGCUAAACAAUAGAAGCUAGUUUUAAUUAAGAGAAUCAAGGAGACAGUUGGGAGUAAGCAUGCAGCGAAAGGAACCUACAAUUAAGGUGAACAAGAAAAGAUAGAUAAGUCAGAGAAAGCAUGAGUAAGAUUUUUGGAGUGUAUGCAAAGGCAAUUGACUGCAAGAAAGAAUUCCACCCCAUAUGGCUCUUGAAAAGAGUUGGGUUUCAAAGCAUCUUAGGAUCAAGGUCAAAGCACAAUGUCACCUUUGGCCUAGUCAGACUCAAGGCAGAGAACAAUCAUUCACUAGAGAAAAUUCUAGACUGGCUAAAACUUUUGGCUCGUCCAACCAGAAUCCUUCCAACAAGUAUAACUAAAGCUUUGGCUCAGUCGAAACACAAUGACCAGAUCAAAACUAUCGAGCUGACACUUUGUGGAUAGAAAAAUAAGCAUUAAAAGGGACUUUUGCAAGAGAACAAGGCAUUCUUCUCGGACCUAGGUUUUGGCACAAGUAGGAAUGCUUGGAACUUUCCCAUUCCUCCAUUUUUCACCUUCAUCCCUUCUCCACCAUUUUUGUUGCUCCUCUCACCCAUGAGUGGUUGAGCUCUCCCUUGUUGGGGUUUGAUGCUAAACCCAAACUCAUGUAUAUCUGUUGAGUUAUUAAUAAAUGUUUAUUAUUCA